rnacentral:rRNA from 1 species
UACGGGGGGGGCAAGCGUUGUCCGGAAUUAUUGGGCGUAAAGAGCUCGUAGGCGGCUUGUCACGUCGGUUGUGAAAGCCCGGGGCUUAACCCCGGGUCUGCAGUCGAUACGGGCAGGCUAGAGUUCGGUAGGGGAGAUCGGAAUUCCUGGUGUAGCGGUGAAAUGCGCAGAUAUCAGGAGGAACACCGGUGGCGAAGGCGGAUCUCUGGGCCGAUACUGACGCUGAGGAGCGAAAGCGUGGGGAGCGAACAGG